AAGUCGUAACAAGGUUUCCGUAGGUGAACCUGCGGAAGGAUCAUUAACACGUUAUCCAUACGUUAACCAAUUGUGAAUCGUUUUCGCCCUCCCUUCACUUAGAAUGAGCGGGGUUUGUAGAGGUCGUAUCAGGGAUUGUUUCGACAAUUUAGCCUCUACUUACUAUUUUAUUGAAACAGAAAUGUUUCUUAAGACGCUGUAUCUAUUGUGGAGAUUAAUCUCGCUAGCGCUUUCCUCUUACAAGAGUUAGUCGGGAACUAUAUUAACUUAUUUCACCUUUUUGCUAGUUGACUUUUAUAUGUUGGGUUUAAUGCAUUGCGUUCUACUCACACGUUUAUUAUUUGAACGUUAAAAUUACAACUCUUAGCAAUGGAUAUCUUGGUUCUC
rnacentral:misc_RNA from 1 species